rnacentral:rRNA from 1 species
UACGUAGGGACCAAGCGUUGUUCGGAUUCAUUGGGCGUAAAGGGUGCGUAGGCGGCGAGGUAAGUCUGAUGUGAAAUCCCGGGGCUCAACCCCGGAACUGCAUUGGAUACUGCUUUGCUAGAGUACUGGAGAGGGAACUGGAAUUUACGGUGUAGCAGUGAAAUGCGUAGAGAUCGUAAGGAAGGCCAGUGGCGAAGGCGAGUUCCUGGACAGUUACUGACGCUGAGGCACGAAGGCCAGGGGAGCAAACGGG